rnacentral:rRNA from 1 species
GGUUAAGCGACUAAGCGUACACGGUGGAUGCCCUGGCAGUCAGAGGCGAUGAAGGACGUGCUAAUCUGCGAUAAGCGUCGGUAAGGUGAUAUGAACCGUUAUAACCGGCGAUUUCCGAAUGGGGAAACCCAGUGUGAUUCGUCACACUAUCAUUAACUGAAUCCAUAGGUUAAUGAGGCGAACCGGGGGAACUGAAACAUCUAAGUACCCCGAGGAAAAGAAAUCAACCGAGAUUCCCCCAGUAGCGGCGAGCGAACGGGGAGGAGCCCAGAGCCUGAAUCAGUGUGUGUGUUAGUGGAAGCGUCUGGAAAGGCGCGCGAUACAGGGUGACAGCCCCGUACACAAAAAUGCACAUGCUGUGAGCUCGAUGAGUAGGGCGGGACACGUGGUAUCCUGUCUGAAUAUGGGGGGACCAUCCUCCAAGGCUAAAUACUCCUGACUGACCGAUAGUGAACCAGUACCGUGAGGGAAAGGCGAAAAGAACCCCGGCGAGGGGAGUGAAAAAGAACCUGAAACCGUGUACGUACAAGCAGUGGGAGCACAGAGCAAUCUGUGUGACUGCGUACCUUUUGUAUAAUGGGUCAGCGACUUAUAUUCUGUAGCAAGGUUAACCGAAUAGGGGAGCCGAAGGGAAACCGAGUCUUAACUGGGCGUUAAGUUGCAGGGUAUAGACCCGAAACCCGGUGAUCUAGCCAUGGGCAGGUUGAAGGUUGGGUAACACUAACUGGAGGACCGAACCGACUAAUGUUGAAAAAUUAGCGGAUGACUUGUGGCUGGGGGUGAAAGGCCAAUCAAACCGGGAGAUAGCUGGUUCUCCCCGAAAGCUAUUUAGGUAGCGCCUCGUGAAUUCAUCUCCGGGGGUAGAGCACUGUUUCGGCAAGGGGGUCAUCCCGACUUACCAACCCGAUGCAAACUGCGAAUACCGGAGAAUGUUAUCACGGGAGACACACGGCGGGUGCUAACGUCCGUCGUGAAGAGGGAAACAACCCAGACCGCCAGCUAAGGUCCCAAAGUCAUGGUUAAGUGGGAAACGAUGUGGGAAGGCCCAGACAGCCAGGAUGUUGGCUUAGAAGCAGCCAUCAUUUAAAGAAAGCGUAAUAGCUCACUGGUCGAGUCGGCCUGCGCGGAAGAUGUAACGGGGCUAAACCAUGCACCGAAGCUGCGGCAGCGACGCUGAUGCGUUGUUGGGUAGGGGAGCGUUCUGUAAGCCUGUGAAGGUGUGCUGUGAGGCAUGCUGGAGGUAUCAGAAGUGCGAAUGCUGACAUAAGUAACGAUAAAGCGGGUGAAAAGCCCGCUCGCCGGAAGACCAAGGGUUCCUGUCCAACGUUAAUCGGGGCAGGGUGAGUCGACCCCUAAGGCGAGGCCGAAAGGCGUAGUCGAUGGGAAACAGGUUAAUAUUCCUGUACUUGGUGUUACUGCGAAGGGGGGACGGAGAAGGCUAUGUUGGCCGGGCGACGGUUGUCCCGGUUUAAGCGUGUAGGCUGGUUUUCCAGGCAAAUCCGGAAAACUAAGGCUGAGGCGUGAUGACGAGGCACUACGGUGCUGAAGCAACAAAUGCCCUGCUUCCAGGAAAAGCCUCUAAGCAUCAGGUAACAUCAAAUCGUACCCCAAACCGACACAGGUGGUCAGGUAGAGAAUACCAAGGCGCUUGAGAGAACUCGGGUGAAGGAACUAGGCAAAAUGGUGCCGUAACUUCGGGAGAAGGCACGCUGAUAUGUAGGUGAAGUCCCUCGCGGAUGGAGCUGAAAUCAGUCGAAGAUACCAGCUGGCUGCAACUGUUUAUUAAAAACACAGCACUGUGCAAACACGAAAGUGGACGUAUACGGUGUGACGCCUGCCCGGUGCCGGAAGGUUAAUUGAUGGGGUCAGCGCAAGCGAAGCUCUUGAUCGAAGCCCCGGUAAACGGCGGCCGUAACUAUAACGGUCCUAAGGUAGCGAAAUUCCUUGUCGGGUAAGUUCCGACCUGCACGAAUGGCGUAAUGAUGGCCAGGCUGUCUCCACCCGAGACUCAGUGAAAUUGAACUCGCUGUGAAGAUGCAGUGUACCCGCGGCAAGACGGAAAGACCCCGUGAACCUUUACUAUAGCUUGACACUGAACAUUGAGCCUUGAUGUGUAGGAUAGGUGGGAGGCUUUGAAGUGUGGACGCCAGUCUGCAUGGAGCCGACCUUGAAAUACCACCCUUUAAUGUUUGAUGUUCUAACGUUGACCCGUAAUCCGGGUUGCGGACAGUGUCUGGUGGGUAGUUUGACUGGGGCGGUCUCCUCCUAAAGAGUAACGGAGGAGCACGAAGGUUGGCUAAUCCUGGUCGGACAUCAGGAGGUUAGUGCAAUGGCAUAAGCCAGCUUGACUGCGAGCGUGACGGCGCGAGCAGGUGCGAAAGCAGGUCAUAGUGAUCCGGUGGUUCUGAAUGGAAGGGCCAUCGCUCAACGGAUAAAAGGUACUCCGGGGAUAACAGGCUGAUACCGCCCAAGAGUUCAUAUCGACGGCGGUGUUUGGCACCUCGAUGUCGGCUCAUCACAUCCUGGGGCUGAAGUAGGUCCCAAGGGUAUGGCUGUUCGCCAUUUAAAGUGGUACGCGAGCUGGGUUUAGAACGUCGUGAGACAGUUCGGUCCCUAUCUGCCGUGGGCGCUGGAGAACUGAGGGGGGCUGCUCCUAGUACGAGAGGACCGGAGUGGACGCAUCACUGGUGUUCGGGUUGUCAUGCCAAUGGCACUGCCCGGUAGCUAAAUGCGGAAGAGAUAAGUGCUGAAAGCAUCUAAGCACGAAACUUGCCCCGAGAUGAGUUCUCCCUGACUCCUUGAGAGUCCUGAAGGAACGUUGAAGACGACGACGUUGAUAGGCCGGGUGUGUAAGCGCAGCGAUGCGUUGAGCUAACCGGUACUAAUGAACCGUGAGGCUUAACCUUAC